rnacentral:piRNA from 1 species
UGGUAUUUCGAGAUGAAGAUAGUGAAGUC